UGUGAAUAUCACCACAAUGAGCAUGUGCGU
rnacentral:piRNA from 1 species